AUGGAGAGUUUGAUCCUGGCUCAGGACGAACGCUGGCGGCGUGCUUAACACAUGCAAGUCGAACGGAAAGGCCCUGCUUUUGUGGGGUGCUCGAGUGGCGAACGGGUGAGUAACACGUGAGUAACCUGCCCUUGACUUUGGGAUAACUUCAGGAAACUGGGGCUAAUACCGGAUAGGAGCUCCUGCUGCAUGGUGGGGGUUGGAAAGUUUCGGCGGUUGGGGAUGGACUCGCGGCUUAUCAGCUUGUUGGUGGGGUAGUGGCUUACCAAGGCUUUGACGGGUAGCCGGCCUGAGAGGGUGACCGGCCACAUUGGGACUGAGAUACGGCCCAGACUCCUACGGGAGGCAGCAGUGAGGAAUCUUGGACAAUGGGGGAAACCCUGAUCCAGCCAUGCCGCGUGAGUGAUGAAGGCCCUAGGGUUGUAAAGCUCUUUCAGCGAGGAGGAUAAUGACGUUACUCGCAGAAGAAGCCCCGGCUAACUUCGUGCCAGCAGCCGCGGUAAUACGAAGGGGGCUAGCGUUGUUCGGAAUCACUGGGCGUAAAGCGCACGUAGGCGGACUUUUAAGUCAGGGGUGAAAUCCCGGGGCUCAACCCCGGAACUGCC
rnacentral:rRNA from 1 species